rnacentral:rRNA from 1 species
GAUCCGGCUCAGGAUGAACGCUGACAGAAUGCUUAACACAUGCAAGUCGAUGGGGAAGUGGUGCUUGCACCAUGGUAACCAUGGCGGACGGGUGAGUAACGCGUAAGGAACUUGCCUGCGGGACCGGGAUAACAGCAGGAAACUGCUGACAAGACCGGAUAAGGUCAUUAAGCCGCAUAGCUUAGUGAUGAAAGGAGACGCCUGCGGAGAGCCUUGCGUCCUAUUAG